rnacentral:rRNA from 1 species
UACGUAAGGGGCGAGCGUUAUCCGGAAUUAUUGGGCGUAAAGAGUAUGUAGGUGGUUCUUUAAGCGUGGGGUUUAAUGCAUUGGCUCAACCAAUGUUUGCCUUGCGAACUGGAGAACUUGAGUAUAGGAGAGGAAAGCGGAAUUCCUAGUGUAGCGGUGAAAUGCGUAGAUAUUAGGAGGAACACCAGAGGCGAAGGCGGCUUUCUGGACUAUUACUGACACUGAGAUACGAAAGCGUGGGGAGCAAACA